CGUUAGUUUACAGCUGUUUUUGUGCCGUGUGUACGCUCGAGGAGGUCACUUAUGUUUCAGAAAGGAGGCAGAUCGCAUCGACACACGCAAUAACCGCGCUACAACAGGAAUAUUCAGUGUUUGACUCCAAUCUGCAGUUUAAUACAUGCAGCCAGCUGUGCAUUUCUGCUGAGCAUCGCUCACACAACCUUACAACAAACACACACACUGCUGUAAUACAGACUUGAAAUCCAGACCUGAAAUCAUGGAGGUUGUUGGUAAGAUUCUUAUAAUUUUAAUGACAGAUGUCAUUUUUAUUGAUUGGUUAAGUCAUUUUAAUGUUAAGCUUUCUAUCUCUGCCACUUGGUUUUAACUCCAGGUGUGUUUUGAGGACUUGAAGUGAACCCAGUAUAAUAUAUGAGCUCAUAGAUGGACAAUAUUUAUGUUGUUUAAAGCUGUGUGUAGCUUACUUUACAAAGAAGUACUGUGUUGAUACCGUGGUGCAGUGAUGGUAUUGAAUAGCAAUAACAUGGUACUUUGACAUAUAAACUACUGUUCAAUAGUGUGGGAUAAGCAAGAUUUGUAAUGUUUUUUUUUUUUUUUAUAAAUGCUCAUUAAGGCUGCAUUUAUUUUAUGAUAAAAAAAUACAAUAAUAUUGUAAAGUGUUAUUACGAUUUUAAGUAAUUGCUUUCAGUUUUAAUAUACUUUAACCCUCUGAGGUCUAGGAAUAUAAUUUAUUCCUGUGGUGACAAAUCUGAAUUUUCAUUAGCCAUUACUACAGUCUUCAGUAUCACAUGAUCUUUCAGAAAUCAUUCUAAUAUGCUGAUUUAUUAUUAAUGUUGGAAACAGUUGUAAAGCUUAAUAUGUUUUUGGAACCUUAAUACUUUUUUUUUUUUUUUUAAGUUAAAAAGAACAACAUUUAUUCAAAAUUGAAAUCUUUUUUGAACAACAUACAUCUUUACCAUCAGUCUUUACUAUCACAUUUUAUCAAUUUAACAUGUCCUUCCUAAAUAAAAAAUUUAAAUUCCUUAGCAUACUGUCCCCAAACUUUUGAACAGUAGUGUAUGCAAACAAUGCAAAAUAAAUAACAUACAACACGAGAUGAACACCCCACUGAUAUCAGUAUCAUAAUAAAUGCUGUUUUAUUUUAUAUGGAGCAGGUUGCACUAUAAAGGUUGAUAUGUUGACAUCUAACUUCCACAGUGGUGUUGUUAAAAAAUGCUACAUUUUGUACUGAUGGGUAUCGGCACAAAAGAAUAACUAAAUAAUAAAAAUGAUUUAUAAUAAAUAAUAAAUAAAAUAGUUUUAA
ensembl:lncRNA